CAAAAGCGUAUAUUAAAGUUGUUGCAGUUAAAUAGCUCGUAGUUGAACCUUGGGCUUGGCUGGCCGGUCCAUCUUUUUUGAUGCGUACUGGACCCAGCCGAGCCUUUCCUUCUGGCUAGCCUUUUGGCGAACCAGGACUUUUACUUUGAAAAAAUUAGAGUGUUCAAAGCAGGCCUUUGCUCGAAUAUAUUAGCAUGGAAUAAUAGAAUAGGACGUUAUGGUUCUAUUUUGUUGGUUUCUAGGACCAUCGUAAUGAUUAAUAGGGACGGUCGGGGGUAUCAGUAUUCAGUUGUCAGAGGUGAAAUUCUUGGAUUUACUGAAGACUAACUACUGCGAAAGCAUUUACCAAGGACGUUUUCAUUAA
rnacentral:rRNA from 1 species